rnacentral:rRNA from 1 species
GACGAACGCUGGCGGCGUGCUUAACACAUGCAAGUCGAACGGAAAGGCCCUGCUUUUGUGGGGUGCUCGAGUGGCGAACGGGUGAGUAACACGUGAGUAACCUGCCCUUGACUUUGGGAUAACUUCAGGAAACUGGGGCUAAUACCGGAUAGGAGCUCCUGCUGCAUGGUGGGGGUUGGAAAGUCUCGGCGGUUGGGGAUGGACUCGCGGCUUAUCAGCUUGUUGGUGGGGUAGUGGCUUACCAAGGCUUUGACGGGUAGCCGGCCUGAGAGGGUGACCGGCCACAUUGGGACUGAGAUACGGCCCAGACUCCUAAGGGAGGCAGCAGUGGGGAAUAUUGCACAAUGGGCGGAAGCCUGAUGCAGCAACGCCGCGUGCGGGAUGACGGCCUUCGGGUUGUAAACCGCUUUCGCCUGUGACGAAGCGUGAGUGACGGUAAUGGGUAAAGAAGCACCGGCUAACUACGUG